UGCUAUCCUUAAGCAUCGAGC
rnacentral:misc_RNA from 1 species